GGUCAAGUAAGAAAGGGCGUACGGGGGAUGCCAGGGCAUCGACAGGCGAAGAAGGACGUGGUUUGCUGCGAUAAGCGACGGGGAGCUGUAAACAAGCAUCGAUCCGUCGAUUUCCGAAUGGGGGAACCCGAUCAUGAGAACCAUGAUCACCCAGUAAUGGGGGCAAUACCCGGGGAAUUGAAACAUCUUAGUACCCGGAGGAAAAGAAAUCAACCGAGAUUCUGUGAGUAGCGGUGAGCGAAAUCGGAAUAGCCUAAACCUCUGUCUAUGUUACAGCAUUGCGGCGCUGUAGCAGGGGUGUUGUAGGACUCACGGGUGUAGCGCAAUAUACACCGCGGAGUUACCAAAUGUCAUGAUAGUAGAACUGUUUUGGGAAAGCAGACCAAAGAAGGUGAAAGUCCUGUAAACGAAAUCAUAG
rnacentral:rRNA from 1 species